rfam:Candidatus Micrarchaeota archaeon CG1_02_60_51 cg1_0.2_scaffold_727_c, whole genome shotgun sequence.
GCGGGGGUCGCCUAGUGGUAUGGCGGCAGCCUGCUAAGCUGUUACUGCGUAAGCGGUACGUGGGUUCGAUUCCCACUCCCCGCG